UACGUAGGGCGCGAGCGUUGUCCGGAUUUAUUGGGCGUAAAGAGCUCGUAGGCGGCUUGUUGCGUCAGCUGUGAAAACCCGCAGCUCAACUGUGGGCUUGCAGCUGAUACGGGCAGGCUUGAGUUCGGUAGGGGAGACUGGAAUUCCUGGUGUAGCGGUGAAAUGCGCAGAUAUCAGGAGGAACACCGGUGGCGAAGGCGGGCCUCUGGGCCGAUACUGACGCUGAGGAGCGAAAGCGUGGGGAGCGAACAGG
rnacentral:rRNA from 1 species